rnacentral:misc_RNA from 1 species
GAUGAAGAACGUAGCGAAAUGCGAUAAGUAAUGUGAAUUGCAGAAUUCAGUGAAUCAUCGAAUCUUUGAACGCACAUUGCGCCCGCUAGUAUUCUGGCGGGCAUGCCUGUCCGAGCGUCAUUUCAACCCUCAAGCCCCCGGGCUUGGUGUUGGGGAUCGGCGAGCCUCCGCGCCCGCCGUCCCCUAAAUCUAGUGGCGGACUCGCUGUAGCUUCCUCUGCGUAGUAGCACACCUCGCACUGGGAAACAGCGCGGCCACGCCGUUAAACCCCCAACUUCUGAACGUUUGACCUCGGAUCAGGUAGGAAUACCCGCUGAACUUAAGCAUAUCAAUAAGCGGAGGA